AAUUGGAAAUGACAGAAAAACUUACCCCUCUUUAGAUGAUGAUGAGUUGGAGGAAGAAGAGGAGUGGGAAGUUGUGAGGUUUCCAGGUCUUCUAUUCAAGAGCCCACCUCAACAGCUUCAUUAUGUUGCUACCUUUCUGCCUCCCACCUACAAAGAUGAAGAAGAUGAGGAGGAAGAGGAAAAAGAUAUUCGUAGAGAACUGACUGCUUUGCACAAUUUUGUCUGUUUAGAUCACAUCUUUGGACACAAUUGCAGCUUGAGCUGCAAGGACUGAAUGAAUGGAGGACAGUGCCAGGAAGGAGUGAAUGCUCCUGCCCAGCAGGUUGGGGUGUCAUUCCUUGUAAUGAAAGUAAGUGACACCCUGAGAAUUGGGUAAGCACUCCAAACUACUCCUUUACAUAUAUUCUCCCCAAAAUGUUUUAAUAAAGUAAGCAAUUGAUAAGUACAAGAAGACAAUUUGUUGGGCAUAAAUAAUGCUUAUGAAGAGCUUAAGUUUUAAACUGAAUAUGUGAAUUAAAAAGGAGAUUUUGUGUUCCCUAGGAAACUCGACAUGCUGUCUCUUGUUUAUCCAUGGAAUGUAAAAGUUAAUAAAGGAUGCUAAUAUUCUAGGCCUAUAAAAAUCCCUCCAUUUAAAUAAAUCAUUAGGCCCUGACAAGCUAUUCCCAAUGAAGAAAAAA
rnacentral:sRNA from 1 species